CUCCUAGCUCUGUACAGCAAAAGGACACAAAAGCACUUGUAAAGUUCAAUUUUAACGGUAUUAGGGGCAAACCUACCAAUCUGCAUUGAAAUCCUUUGGAGCACAUUAAAGGAAUGGAGUACAUGGAGGUAAGGGGGAGGCUUCUCUAUAAAAUCCAUGAGUUUAUAUUCCUUCUUUGUCCUUUGUGAAUUGUGAAAGCCCACUGAAAGGUUAUGUCACUCACUGUGUCUUCUCCAAGCUUGUUUUCCACAUUGCCUGCUCCCAUUUCUUUCCAGCUACCUUAGCACAGUACAACUUCACCUUGGAGUCUGGCUUGGAUUGUAUUCACUGAGAAAUUGAGUUGCAUGGAGUUGUAUUGGCAUCCAGCAGAAGUUCCAUAGCUGUGCUGUGGUGCAAGAACAGGGCAGGUUCAGGAGCGGCUUUAGAUGCACAAAUAACCUAAAGCAUCCCCUGUGUUAUCUGUGUAGCAUUCUGCAAGGGCUGUUAGUCAACAUCAUUUUCUCUGAGUUAAAGUCAGCCUCAGUGGGGGAUAGGAGGAAUGAGGAUCUUAAGACAGGUCUGGUAGUGUAAGAACAGGUAGGCCUAUGAGAAGCCAUGUACAGAAAUUGGAACAGAAGUUUUAGUUGACCCAAAGAUUACAGAACAAGGAGUAGGUGUCAACAGAGCAACUAGGGCUCAUCAGUGCUGUGGUAGUCCCCGAGCAGCCCUGAAGGAGAAUCUGUCCAGACGUCCAUCAGCUAAGGGAGUGAAAAUGUACUAUACGGUGGGGCCAUUCCAUGGAUUAUGACUCAGUGUAAGAUAGUCCAUGCAAGCAUUUACUUACUUACUCAAAAUAUCUGUGACACAAUCACAUUAUGGGGAGAAAAACUGUUCAUUUGUAUCCUGGGUAUGGAGAUUUCCUAUGAUUCUGUUCCAAUAGCCUUGGGCACGAAGUCAUUCAAGUUAAGGUAAAGAGAGCUGCUAUUAGAAGAAGCUGCACACUUUGGGGGCAAGCCUGAAACAGUGGCCAAGAACAGAGUCUAAUCCACCACCAACAUAUGAUCCUUUGCUGGGAAACAAGCCUGAUCUACACAGCCUUGGGAACGAGCUAAGCCAGAUUGGGGAAUAAGGCAAGAACCAUGAUUCUAUGUUGGUUUAUGGGAGGACAGCACAACACUGACUGAGUUGUUUAUAGGCUAUAGGCUAUGCCUGCUAUGUACAUAUCCCACUCAACAUUUGUUUUUAUGCCUUCAGAGAAUCCUGGGGGGUCUUUAUAUUAAGGAUUACCUCAGAAAGUAAACACUUGACUGCAAUGUACUAUGCUUAUAUUGUGUGAACACACAUGUGUUGUGUGUUUGGGAGUGUGUAUUAGUGUUUCUGUGUGUCUGUGUGUGUUUGUAUGUGCACACAGGUAUGCAUGCCUCCACUGACAUUACACUCAUCUAAUGACCAGAAUAAGGAAGGAUUAGAGGAAACAAUGCAGGACACUCUGAAGCAGAGAGAACUGAUCACCCAGGAAAGUGACUUGGGAGAAACAGUGUAGAAGAAUUGUGACAUCUUUGAGAUCAGUACUGUGCAUAGUCCACAGUUCGAUUUCUAGCUGUUUUUAAAAGCUGAUAUAUAAAUCGAAGCCCAUUUACU
ensembl:lncRNA